rnacentral:rRNA from 1 species
GCCCCCGGAGGUCAUCAAACACUGCAUCUUUGCGUCGGAGUCUUAAAGUAAAUUUAAACAAAACUUUCAACAACGGAUCUCUUGGUUCUGGCAUCGAUGAAGAACGCAGCGAAAUGCGAUAAGUAAUGUGAAUUGCAGAAUUCAGUGAAUCAUCGAAUCUUUGAACGCACAUUGCGCCCCGUGGUAUUCCGCGGGGCAUGCCUGUUCGAGCGUCAUUUCACCACUCAAGCCUAGCUUGGUAUUGGGCGUCGCGGUUCCGCGCGCCUUAAAGUCUCCGGCUGAGCAGUUCGUCUCUAAGCGUUGUGGCAUAUAUUUCGCUGAAGAGUUCGGACGGCUUUUGGCCGUUAAAUCUUUCUUAAGGUUGACCUCGGAUCAGGUAGGGAUACCCGCUGAACUUAAGCAUAUCAAUAAGCGGAGGAA